rfam:Oryza rufipogon genomic scaffold, chr06
AAAAAGUCAAACCUUGGGUUUCCGUGUCCAACGUUUGACCGUCCGUCUUAUAUGAAAUUUUUUUAUAAUUAGUAUUUUCAUUGUUGCUAGAUGAUAAAACAUGAUUAAUACUUUAUGCGUUACUUGUCUUUUUAUUUUUUUUUAUAAUUUUUUCAAAUAAAAUUCUCUGAGCAGAUGAACUCAGAGAGAAGAAGCCUCAAA